GAAGGGGGCUAGCGUUACUCGGAAUUACUGGGCGUAAAGGGCGCGUAGGCGGCACCGUCAGUCAGGCGUGAAAUUCCUGGGCUCAACCUGGGGACUGCGCUUGAUACGGCGGAGCUAGAGGAUGGAAGAGGCUCGUGGAAUUCCCAGUGUAGAGGUGAAAUUCGUAGAUAUUGGGAAGAACACCGGUGGCGAAGGCGGCGAGCUGGUCCAUUACUGACGCUGAGGCGCGACAGCGUGGGGAGCAAACAGGAUUAGAUACCCUGGUAGUCCACGCCGUAAACGAUGUGCGCUGGAUGUUGGGUGACCUAGUCACUCAGUGUCGUAGCUAACGCGAUAAGCGCACCGCCUGGGAGUACGGCCGCAAGGUUG
rnacentral:rRNA from 1 species